rnacentral:rRNA from 1 species
GGCGUACGGGUGAGUACACGUGACUAACCUGCCUUCUAGUGGGGGAUAACCUCGGGAAACCGGGGCUAAUACCGCAUAACAUCUCUGAAAACAAAGGAGCGCUGGAAGAGGGGGUCGCGGCUGAUUAGCUAGUUGGCGGGGUAACGGCCCACCAAGGCGAUGAUCGGUAGCCGGCCUGAGAGGGCGCACGGCCACACUGGAACUGAAACACGGUCCAGACUCCUACGGGAGGCAGCAGUGGGGAAUUUUGCGCAAUGGGGGAAACCCUGACGCAGCAACGCCGCGUGGAGGAUGAAGCCCCUUGGGGCGUAAACUCCUUUCGACCGGGACGAUUGACGGUACCGGUGGAAGAAGCACCGGCUAACUCUGUGCCAGCAGCCGCGGUAAUACAGAGGGUGCAAGCGUUGUUCGGAAUUAUUGGGCGUUAAGGGCGCGUAUGCGGCGCGGUAAGUCACCUGUGAAACCUCCGGGCUUAACUCGGAGCCUGAAGGCGAACA